ACGGUUUUUCCAAAACCUUUUCCCAUUAACAGAAAAUCAAAAAUGAUUUACCUAACCUUUGAUAAAAAUAUUUAAUAUUAACUUGACAUUUCAAGUUCCCGACAAAAUGCACGGGAUCCAGAGCAGAUUAAGAGAGCAGAUCAUAAUCCCCUCCUCCAAACAGAAAGAUAGGGAGAGAAACCAAAGUCCAAAUUAGAAAGACAAUAGAAAGCCCCCCCCCCCCCAGACUUUCCAGAUCGACCUACGACCCCCCCCCCCCCUUUCCGGGCAAGGGGGAGCCUUUCAAGAGAAGGUCAAUUAUGCCAGUUCCAACAUUAAAACCAUAAUAUGCGCUUAGGGGCUCGCCCUCGCUCCGCGCCCGGGGGCGGGAUUUUUUUCCUGGUCCCCCGAUUCUAUCUUUCCAAAGUAAGCCUCCUCCUUAGUUAACAAUACCCGGGAACUGCGAUGCUCAUAACCGGUCUUGUUUUUUGACGCCCCUCCACCAGGGAUACUGUGUAUUUGGACUUAACCUGUGAAAAAUCCCGAUUUGGGAAGGAUGUUUUUUAAAUCAAAAACAAAUGGCUUUGGGUCCUUAGGGGAAUCAUGAAACUGCUCGAAUCGCAUGCCUUGCGCGGGGGAUGUUUCAUUCAAAUAUCUGCCCUAUCAACUUUCGAUGGUAGAUAGAGCCCUACCAUGGUGAUGCGGGUAACGGGGAAUAAGGGUUCGAUUCCGGAGAGAGGCCCUGAGAAACGGCCCUCAGGUCUAAGGACACGCAGCAGGCGCGCAAAUUAUCCCCUGGCAACACUUUGCCGAGAUAGUGACAAUAAAUAACAAUGCAGGGCUCUUACGGGUCUUGCAAUUGGAAUGAGUACAAUUUAAAUCCCUUAACGAGGAUCAAUUGGAGGGCAAGUCUGGUGCCAGCAGCCGCGGUAAUUCCAGCUCCAAUAGCGUAUAUUAAAAUUGUUGCCGUUAAAAAGCUCGUAGUCGAACUUCGGGCUCUGUCAGCCGGUCCGCCUUCUUGGUGUGUACUUGUUUGACGGAGCCUUACCUCCUGGUGAACGGCAAUGUCCUUUACUGGGUGUCGUCGCAAACCAGGACUUUUACUUUGAAAAAAUUAGAGUGUUCAAAGCAGGCCUUUGCCCGAAUACAUUAGCAUGGAAUAAUAAAAUAGGACGCGCGUUCCCAUUUUGUUGGUUUCUGAGAUCGCCGUAAUGAUUAAUAGGGAUAGUUGGGGGCAUUUGUAUUCCGUCGUCAGAGGUGAAAUUCUUGGAUUGCCGGAAGACAAACUACUGCGAAAGCAUUUGCCAAGGAUGUUUUCAUUGAUCAAGAACGAAGGAAGGGGGAUCGAAAACGAUUAGAUACCGUUGUAGUCUCUUCUGUAAACUAUGCCAAUUGGGGAUCGGUACAGGAUUUUUAAUGACUGUAUCGGCACCCGAAGAGAAAUCUUUAAAUGAGGUUCGGGGGGGAGUAUGGUCGCAAGGCUGAAACUUAAAGGAAUUGACGGAAGGGCACCACCAGGUG
rnacentral:rRNA from 2 species